UACGUAGGGUGCAAGCGUUAAUCGGAAUUACUGGGCGUAAAGCGUGCGCAGGCGGUUUUGUAAGCCAGAUGUGAAAUCCCCGGGCUUAACCUGGGAAUGGCAUUUGGGACUGCAAGGCUGGAGUUUGGCAGAGGAGACUGGAAUUCCUGGUGUAGCAGUGAAAUGCGUAGAUAUCCGAAGGAACAUCAGUGGCGAAAGCGGCUUCCUGGACCAGAACUGACGAUCAGGCACGAAAGCGUGGGGAGCAAACAG
rnacentral:rRNA from 1 species